UACGUAGGGCGCGAGCGUUGUCCGGAAUUAUUGGGCGUAAAGCGCGCGCAGGCGGUCCUUUAAGUCUGAUGUGAAAGCCCACGGCUCAACCGUGGAGGGUCAUUGGAAACUGGGGGACUUGAGUGCAGAAGAGGAAAGUGGAAUUCCAAGUGUAGCGGUGAAAUGCGUAGAGAUUUGGAGGAACACCAGUGGCGAAGGCGACUUUCUGGUCUGUAACUGACGCUGAGGCGCGAAAGCGUGGGGAGCAAACAGG
rnacentral:rRNA from 1 species